rnacentral:rRNA from 1 species
UGAGGAAUAUUGCGCAAUGGACGAAAGUCUGACGCAGCAACGCCGCGUGAGUGAUGAAGGCCCUCGGGUCGUAAAGCUCUGUCGUGUGGGAAGAGGCUAUACGUGUAACGAACGUAUGGUGACGGUACCACAGAAGGAAGCACCGGCUAACUCCGUGCCAGCAGCCGCGGUAAUACGUAGGGGACGAGCGUUGUCCGGAAUUACUGGGCGUAAAGGGCGCGCAGGCUGUGCUGCAAGUCAGCUGUGAAAUAUCUGGGCUUAACCCGGUUAUGCGGUUGAGACUGCAGUGCUGGAGUGCUGUAGAGGCAAGCGGAAUUCCCAGUGUAGCGGUGAAAUGCGUAGAUAUUGGGAAGAACACCGGUGGCGAAGGCGGCUUGCUGGGCAGCAACUGACGCUGAGGCGCGAAAGCCAGGGGAGCAAACA